AGGACGAACGCUGGCGGCGUGCUUAACACAUGCAAGUCGAACGGUAAGGCCCCUUCGGGGGUACACGAGUGGCGAACGGGUGAGUAACACGUGGGUAAUCUGCCCUGCACUUCGGGAUAAGCCUGGGAAACUGGGUCUAAUACCGGAUAUGAACUCCUGCCGCAUGGUGGGGGUUGGAAAGUUUUUCGGUGCAGGAUGAGCCCGCGGCCUAUCAGCUUGUUGGUGGGUAAUGGCCUACCAAGGCGACGACGGGUAGCCGGCCUGAGAGGGUGAUCGGCCACACUGGGACUGAGACACGGCCCAGACUCCUACGGGAGGCAGCAGUGGGAAUAUUGCACAAUGGGCGAAAGCCUGAUGCAGCGACGCCGCGUGGGGGAUGACGGUCUUCGGAUUGUAAACCCUUUCAGUAGGACGAAGCGCAAGUGACGGUACCUGCAGAAGAAGCACCGGCUAACUACGUGCCAGCAGCCGC
rnacentral:rRNA from 1 species